GAUGAACGCUGGCGGCGUGCCUAAUACAUGCAAGUCGAGCGAACGGACGAGAAGCUUGCUUUUCUGAUGUUAGCGGCGGACGGGUGAGUAACACGUGGAUAACCUACCUAUAAGACUGGGAUAACUUCGGGAAACCGGAGCUAAUACCGGAUAAUAUUUUGAACCGCAUGGUUCAAAAGUGAAAGACGGUCUUGCUGUCACUUAUAGAUGGAUCCGCGCUGCAUUAGCUAGUUGGUAAGGUAACGGCUUACCAAGGCAACGAUGCUUAGCCGACCUGAGAGGGUGAUCGGCCACACUGGAACUGAGACACGGUCCAGUCUCCUACGGGAGGCAGCAGUAGGGAAUCUUCCGCAAUGGGCGAAAGCCUGACGGAACAACGCCGCGUGAGUGAUGAAGGUCUUCGGAUCGUAAAACUCUGUUAUUAGGGAAGAACAUAUGUGUAAGUAACUGUGCACAUCUUGACGGUACCUAAUCAGAAAGCCACGGCUAACUACGUG
rnacentral:rRNA from 1 species